GAUGAAGAACGCAGCAAAAUGCGAUAAGUAAUGUGAAUUGCAGAAUUCAGUGAAUCAUCGAAUCUUUGAACGCACAUUGCGCCCGCCAGUAUUCUGGCGGGCAUGCCUGUUCGAGCGUCAUUUCAACCCUCAAGCCCUCGGGUUUGGUGUUGGGGAUCGGCGAGCCUUUCUGGCAAGCCGGCCCCGAAAUCCAGUGGCGGUCUCGCUGCAGCCUCCAUUGCGUAGUAGUAAAACCCUCGCAACUGGAACGCGGCGCGGCCAAGCCGUUAAACCUCCAACUUCUGAAUGUUGACCUCGGAUCAGGUAGGAAUACCCGCUGAACUUAAGCAUAUCAAUAAGCGGAGGA
rnacentral:misc_RNA from 1 species